rnacentral:misc_RNA from 1 species
GAUGAAGAACGCAGCGAAAUGCGAUAAGUAAUGUGAAUUGCAGAAUUCAGUGAAUCAUCGAAUCUUUGAACGCACCUUGCGCCCUUUGGCUAUUCCGAAGGGCAUGCCUGUUUGAGUAUCGUGAACACCUCAACUCUCAUGGUUUGCCAUGAUGAGCUUGGACCUGGGGGUUUUGCUGGCCUUCGGUCGGCUCCUCUCAAACGGAUCAGCUUUCCAGUGUUUGGUGGCGUCACGGGUGUGAUAACUAUCUACGCCUGUGGUUUUCUGCCAGAUAACCUUCAGCGAUGGAGGUUCGCUGGGGCUCAUAAAUGUCUCUCUUCAGUGGAGACAGCUUUUUGGACGUUUGAUCUCAAAUCAGGUAGGACUACCCGCUGAACUUAAGCAUAUCAAUAAGCGGAGGA